rnacentral:rRNA from 1 species
ACGAACGCUGGCGGCGUGCCUAAUACAUGCAAGUAGAACGCUGAAGAGAGGAGCUUGCUCUUCUUGGAUGAGUUGCGAACGGGUGAGUAACGCGUAGGUAACCUGCCUUGUAGCGGGGGAUAACUAUUGGAAACGAUAGCUAAUACCGCAUAACAAUGGAUGACCCAUGUCAUUUAUUUGAAAGGGGCAAUUGCUCCACUACAAGAUGGACCUGCGUUGUAUUAGCUAGUAGGUGAGGUAACGGCUCACCUAGGCGACGAUACAUAGCCGACCUGAGAGGGUGAUCGGCCACACUGGGACUGAGACACGGCCCAGACUCCUACGGGAGGCAGCAGUAGGGAAUCUUCGGCAAUGGGGGCAACCCUGACCGAGCAACGCCGCGUGAGUGAAGAAGGUUUUCGGAUCGUAAAGCUCUGUUGUAAGUCAAGAACGAGUGUGAGAGUGGAAAGUUCACACUGUGACGGUAGCUUACCAGAAAGGGACGGCUAACUACGUGCCAGCAGCCGCGGUAAUACGUAGGUCCCGAGCGUUGUCCGGAUUUAUUGGGCGUAAAGCGAGCGCAGGCGGUUUGAUAAGUCUGAAGUUAAAGGCUGUGGCUCAACCAUAGUUCGCUUUGGAAACUGUCAAACUUGAGUGCAGAAGGGGAGAGUGGAAUUCCAUGUGUAGCGGUGAAAUGCGUAGAUAUAUGGAGGAACACCGGUGGCGAAAGCGGCUCUCUGGUCUGUAACUGACGCUGAGGCUCGAAAGCGUGGGGAGCGAACAGGAUUAGAUACCCUGGUAGUCCACGCCGUAAACGAUGAGUGCUAGGUGUUGGAUCCUUUCCGGGAUUCAGUGCCGCAGCUAACGCAUUAAGCACUCCGCCUGGGGAGUACGACCGCAAGGUUGAAACUCAAAGGAAUUGACGGGGGCCCGCACAAGCGGUGGAGCAUGUGGUUUAAUUCGAAGCAACGCGAAGAACCUUACCAGGUCUUGACAUCCCGAUGCUAUUUCUAGAGAUAGAAAGUUACUUCGGUACAUCGGUGACAGGUGGUGCAUGGUUGUCGUCAGCUCGUGUCGUGAGAUGUUGGGUUAAGUCCCGCAACGAGCGCAACCCCUAUUGUUAGUUGCCAUCAUUCAGUUGGGCACUCUAGCGAGACUGCCGGUAAUAAACCGGAGGAAGGUGGGGAUGACGUCAAAUCAUCAUGCCCCUUAUGACCUGGGCUACACACGUGCUACAAUGGUUGGUACAACGAGUUGCGAGUCGGUGACGGCAAGCUAAUCUCUUAAAGCCAAUCUCAGUUCGGAUUGUAGGCUGCAACUCGCCUACAUGAAGUCGGAAUCGCUAGUAAUCGCGGAUCAGCACGCCGCGGUGAAUACGUUCCCGGGCCUUGUACACACCGCCCGUCACACCACGAGAGUUUGUAACACCCGAAGUCGGUGAGGUAACCUUUUGGAGCCAGCCGCCUAAGGUGGGAUAGAUGAUUGGGGUG